rnacentral:rRNA from 1 species
GCUAUAGGCUUAACACAUGCAAGUCGAGGGGAAACGGCAAAGAGUGCUUGCACACUUUGGACGUCGACCGGCGCACGGGUGAGUAACGCGUAUCCAACCUGCCCUUUACUUGGGGAUAACCCGUUGAAAGACGGACUAAUACCCAAUGAUAUUCAUUGAUGACAUCUGAUUUGAAUUAAAGAUUUAUCGGUAUAGGAUGGGGAUGCGUCUGAUUAGCUUGUUGGUGAGGUAACGGCUCACCAAGGCAACGAUCAGUAGGGGUUCUGAGAGGAAGGUCCCCCACAUUGGAACUGAGACACGGUCCAAACUCCUACGGGAGGCAGCAGUGAGGAAUAUUGGUCAAUGGACGAGAGUCUGAACCAGCCAAGUAGCGUGCAGGAUGACGGCCCUAUGGGUUGUAAACUGCUUUUGUUUGGGAAUAAUCGACAUUACGUGUAAUGUUUUGCAUGUACCAUUCGAAUAAGGACCGGCUAAUUCCGU